rnacentral:sRNA from 1 species
GACGAUGCAGAGGGCUGUAAGUGUGGUGGCCCAUCUGGGCUCUCGCCUGCAGGCAUUCUCCCCGGCCUUGUGUCGUCCAUUUAGUUGCGCACAGGAGGUGCUCCGCCGGACACCGCUGUAUGACUUCCACCUGGCCCACGGCGGGAAAAUGGUGGCGUUUGCGGGUUGGAGUCUGCCAGUGCAGUACCGGGACAGUCACACUGACUCGCACCUGCACACACGCCAGCACUGCUCGCUCUUUGACGUGUCUCAUAUGCUGCAGACCAAGAUACUUGGUAGUGACCGGGUGAAGCUGAUGGAGAGUCUAGUGGUUGGAGACAUUGCAGAGCUAAGACCAAACCAGGGGACACUGUCGCUGUUUACCAACGAGGCUGGAGGCAUCUUAGAUGACUUGAUUGUAACCAGUACUUCUGAGGGCCACCUGUAUGUGGUGUCCAACGCUGGCUGCUGGGAGAAAGAUUUGGCCCUCAUGCAGGUAUACCCCCUCUGUGUUCUAGGCACCUUGUCUUCCUUGUUCAUAGAGCAGCAUCCUUGUUAUCCAAGACAGGGUUGGCACAGACAAAGGACCUGGAAAAUGGCUCUUUCAGUGAAUGAACAGCUAUGAGACUCAAGAGCAGGCCCUCUCUGGAGCAUGCCAGGGUUUGGUGGUGGGGGAUUACCAGGCAUGGGGAGGGGGUCUUGGCCCCUCUGGUGUGAGGUGGCAGACCUGGGCUUGGGUCAUCUCUAUCACUUAGUAGCUAUGUGACCUUGUAAGAUGGGAACCAGCCUACUACCUUUUUUUCCUCCCUCCUCCUCCUCCUCUCCACUGUCUUACUACUGUCCAGCUCUGCAGCGUCCAGCCCAUGGUAGCUGCUCAGUAAGUGGCCCCAGAUGCUCUUGUGUUUCUGUCUUUUAGGACAAGGUCAGGGAGCUUCAGAACCAGGGCAGAGAUGUGGGCCUGGAGGUGUUGGAUAAUGCCCUGCUAGCUCUGCAAGGUGAGAGGGCUGGGCUGGGGUUGGAGCCAACCUUUGCCUUCCUGGCUUUAUUGACUGCUUAGCACAGAGGCCAUACCAAGAAGAAGGUGUGGAAGGUGUGAUAUUUGUGUGCCAUAAUUUUAAGUUUGGUAUCUUGCCCUCCUCCUACCUACCACAAGGCUCCAUGGGCUAGAGACAAGGGCAUCUUCUCCCACUUGCAGAGUAAGACGUGCUCAGGGCUUGUUCUAGUCCCUGAAUAAGGCUUUAGUCCAGGUUUGAGGGAUGCUGGGACCUGGAUACUUGGUCACUGGCUCCCUGGGCCCAGGCCCCACUGCAGCCCAGGUACUACAGGCCGGCGUGGCAGAUGACCUGAGGAAACUGCCCUUCAUGACCAGUGCUGUGAUGGAGGUGUUUGGCGUGUCUGGCUGCCGUGUGACCCGCUGUGGCUACACAGGAGAGGAUGGUGUGGAGGUGUGUCAAGAAGUGGUGUAGGGGGCAGUACAGGGCACAAGAUGCAUGUGAGGGGUUGGGGGUAUGUGGUACAGGGAGCUUCCCAUCUGCCCUCUGGUGUUUCAUACAGAUCUCGGUGCCGGUAGCGGGGGCAGUUCACCUGGCAACAGCUCUUCUGAAAAACCCAGAGGUGAAGCUGGCAGGGCUGGCAGCCAGGGACAGCCUGCGCCUGGAGGCAGGCCUCUGCCUGUACGGGAAUGACAUUGAUGAACACACUACACCUGUGGAGGGCAGCCUCAGUUGGACACUGGGGAAGCGCCGCCGAGCUGCUAUGGACUUCCCUGGAGCCAAAGUCAUUGUUCCCCAGCUGAAGGGCAAGGUGCAGCGGAGGCGUGUGGGGUUGAUGUGUGAGGGGGCCCCCAUGCGGGCACACAGUCCCAUCCUGAACAUGGAGGGUACCAAGAUUGGUACUGUGACUAGUGGCUGCCCCUCGCCCUCUCUGAAGAAGAAUGUGGCGAUGGGUUAUGUGCCCUGCGAGUACAGUCGUCCAGGGACAAUGCUGCUGGUAGAGGUGCGGCGGAAGCAGCAGAUGGCUGUAGUCAGCAAGAUGCCCUUUGUGCCCACAAACUACUAUACCCUCAAGUGAAGCUGGCUCAGGGUGGGGCUGUCCCUUCCAGAAGUUUUGCCCCUACAAGGGGUUAGUCAAGAAGCUGAGGCAGAACUCACUGGGGGUGGGCAGUUAAGGUGGAGGCUGAUUCUAAUUGUCUGGCUGAGGGGCCACACCACCUAUUCCCCCCACCUAACUCAUGCCACUCCAGCUUCCUUCAGGACCCUGCUUCUGAGUGACGGACCAGCUCACACAAUGUCUUGUUUCAGUCCAUGAUCCCACUGACCUACUCUUGCCUGCUGGAGGGUAAUGAGAAGCUUUGGUUCUGCCAUCUCUCCCACUCUGCCAGGUGCUGGCUGUGGAGCAAAGGCUCACCUUUGUGGGGAGGAUAAAACCUGCCCAACCUACCUCACCAUGGUUUUUCACAUUGCAAACGGUAAUAACAUGGGCAGUGUGGACUUAGGCUACCCCCUCCAGUUUGCUUUCCGUAAAUGCAAAUUGUCCCUACUGCAAGUCAGGAAUGAUUGCCGACUCACAGUAGGGCUGCUAUGCCUGUGUGUAAACUUGGGGAUGGCUGAGGGAACACAGACUCACUCUUCCGCAUUCCCAAGUUGGUCUAGUGUGCUGCCCAGUAGCAAACCAUGGCAGGCUCACCACCUAUUCUGAGCUCCAGGGCUGUUGUAGGGCAGGGUGGGCUUCCUCCCAGACUUGCCUUACCCUGGGCUGAUCUUUGCCCCUGGUAUGCAUUAAUGGACUC